rnacentral:rRNA from 1 species
GACGAACGCUGGCGGCGUGCCUAAUACAUGCAAGUAGAACGCUGGAGGAGGAGCUUGCUCUUCUGGAUGAGUUGCGAACGGGUGAGUAACGCGUAGGUAACCUGCCUGGUAGCGGGGGAUAACUAUUGGAAACGAUAGCUAAUACCGCAUAAGAGUAGAUGUUGCAUGACAUUUGCUUAAAAGGUGCAAUUGCAUCACUACCAGAUGGACCUGCGUUGUAUUAGCUAGUUGGUGGGGUAACGGCUCACCAAGGCGACGAUACAUAGCCGACCUGAGAGGGUGAUCGGCCACACUGGGACUGAGACACGGCCCAGACUCCUACGGGAGGCAGCAGUAGGGAAUCUUCGGCAAUGGACGGAAGUCUGACCGAGCAACGCCGCGUGAGUGAAGAAGGUUUUCGGAUCGUAAAGCUCUGUUGUAAGAGAAGAACGAGUGUGAGAGUGGAAAGUUCACACUGUGACGGUAGCUUACCAGAAAGGGACGGCUAACUACGUG